UUCCUUUAACUUUACUGCACCGUUUUAUUUUAAUCAGAAAGCUGUGCGUCAGUCUACCAAACCAAAACAAAAAGGAUCCUUCUGUUAAAUCGUAAUGGAAUUGCUGAACCACAGAAUUAUUACUGUGCACGAGGCCAUAUGGUCCAUCAGACCCGCUGUCGCCCGCCGCCGACGUCAGACAGCCCCGUGGAAAAGGCCCAUCCUCCGCCGCGAGCAAUCAGUGCAGAUUCAUCCGCCACUGCAGAGAAAGAGUUCCUUGAGGGGUGUGAAAUGAGCGAAGGGGAGCGCUGACUGCGAUCAUGUGAAAUGCUCACUGCCCCCGGGGACUGGAAAUAGUUAACAUUAGCUUCAUUUUAAAUCAACCAAAUGUUUUAAACACUUACCGUACCUCAAUAACAAUAAUAAAUUAAAUCAAUGCAGAAAUUGUUUUAUGUUAGUGUAGAAUUGGCCU